UACGGAGGGUGCAAGCGUUAUCCGGAUUUACUGGGUUUAAAGGGUGUGUAGGCGGGCUUUUAAGUCAGUGGUGAAAUCUCCCGGCUCAACCCGGAAACUGCCAUUGAUACUAUUAGUCUUGAAUUUUGUUGAGGUAGGCGGAAUAAGUCAUGUAGCGGUGAAAUGCUUAGAUAUGACUUAGAACACCAAUUGCGAAGGCAGCUUGCUAAACAAACAUUGACGCUGAGGCACGAAAGCGUGGGGAUCAAACAGG
rnacentral:rRNA from 1 species